rnacentral:rRNA from 1 species
AGCUAGAUGGUGGGUAAAGGCCUACCAUGGCGACGAUCUGUAGCUGUUCUGAGAGGAUGAUCAGCCACACCGGGACUGAGACACGGCCCGGACUCCUACGGGAGGCAGCAGUGGGGAAUAUUGGACAAUGGGGGCAACCCUGAUCCAGCCAUGCCGCGUGUGUGAAGAAGGCCUUUUGGUUGUAAAGCACUUUAAGCAGUGAAGAAGACUCCAUGGUUAAUACCCAUGGACGAUGACAUUAGCUGCAGAAUAAGCACCGGCUAACUCUGUGCCAGCAGCCGCGGUAAUACAGAGGGUGCAAGCGUUAAUCGGAAUUACUGGGCGUAAAGCGAGCGUAGGUGGCUUGAUAAGUCAGAUGUGAAAGCCCCGGGCUUAACCUGGGAACGGCAUCUGAUACUGUUAGGCUAGAGUAGGUGAGAGGAAGGUAGAAUUCCAGGUGUAGCGGUGAAAUGCGUAGAGAUCUGGAGGAAUACCGAUGGCGAAGGCAGCCUUCUGGCAUCAUACUGACACUGAGGUUCGAAAGCGUGGGUAGCAAACAGGAUUAGAUACCCUGGUAGUCCACGCCGUAAACGAUGUCUACUAGUCGUUGGGUCCCUUGAGGACUUAGUGACGCAGCUAACGCAAUAAGUAGACCGCCUGGGGAGUACGGCCGCAAGGUUAAAACUCAAAUGAAUUGACGGGGGCCCGCACAAGCGGUGGAGCAUGUGGUUUAAUUCGAUGCAACGCGAAGAACCUUACCUGGUCUUGACAUAUCUAGAAUCCUGCAGAGAUGCGGGAGUGCCUUCGGGAAUUAGAAUACAGGUGCUGCAUGGCUGUCGUCAGCUCGUGUCGUGAGAUGUUGGGUUAAGUCCCGCAACGAGCGCAACCCUUGUCCUUAGUUACCAGCGGUUUGGCCGGGAACUCUAAGGAUACUGCCAGUGACAAACUGGAGGAAGGCGGGGACGACGUCAAGUCAUCAUGGCCCUUACGACCAGGGCUACACACGUGCUACAAUGGUAGGUACAGAGGGCAGCUACACAGCGAUGUGAUGCGAAUCUCAAAAAGCCUAUCGUAGUCCAGAUUGGAGUCUGCAACUCGACUCCAUGAAGUAGGAAUCGCUAGUAAUCGCGGAUCAGAAUGCCGCGGUGAAUACGUUCCCGGGCCUUGUACACACCGCCCGUCACACCAUGGGAGUUGAUUGCACCAGAAGUGGUUAGCCUAACCUUUUAGGAAGGCGAUCACCCACG